rnacentral:sRNA from 1 species
AUGUAUUUACUAUAUGCGGUGAUUAAUUCAGUGGAAUCAGGAAGAAAGCUUAUUGGUUUUAAUUUCAAAGAUGUGAGUCCAACAGGAUACAAGCAAUGUUUGAAGUUGUGUAUCGGUCAUGGAGAUUGUCUCUCGGUCAAUUUCAGCAGAAAUCGACUGUUGUGUGAGCUGAACUCACAACAGGAGACGGAAACUGUCAAAGUCACGGAAAAUACCGAAGAGACGAAAGAUUUCAUCUUUAUCUCUAGAGCAUCUUUCCUAAACGAUAUCGCCCAACCCCAAGGAGAACUGAAGAAUUUGGCGUGCCCCAAAGGUCAAAUGCGUGUCUCACGUUCAGCUCAUGAGGGUACUUGCGUCAUAUCACGAUGUGUUGGGAAGGUACCUCCACCUUACAUCGAAUACAGUGCCAAUAUCAUAUAUCCAACUGUUUUCAUGGACACCGCAGACGAAACACACGGUAACGUUGGAGAGAGCAGGAACUUCACCUGCCCCCAAGGAACAGUUGCAGUGGGCAAAAAGAAUGUAACGUGUCUUGCGAACGGACAGUGGGAAACUCCGAGAUGCGAAGUAUGCAUUGAGUUGACCGAUCCUUUUGGAAAAAAAUACCUGGGGCACAAAAACAUGACAACAUCCGGUACAACGUGUCAGCGCUGGGAUUCACAGACACCGCAUAACCACUCCUACCCAAACAAUCCGGUGUUCAUGAUCAUGAGGUUUGAUAUUGAACUUGUCAAAGAAAACAAAAAGUGUUUCAAUUGGAAAACUACUGUAGAAAUCCUAGCAGGCAUCUUUGGCCGUGGUGCUAUACAACAGACCCGAACCAACGAUGGGAAAACUGUCUCAUUCCGACCUGUUGAUUCAUUUUAA